CCCGGCGCCGUAGAAUACAGGAGCAGAACCAAUCCCGUAGUGGGUGAUGCCGCCCAUGAGGUUCGAGAGGAAUGAGAGAACCAUGGCGGCAAAGAGUGAGGGGGUGCCCAGGGCCUUCGCCACUGACAGGAAUGCAGCAAACAUUGCUCCAAUGUGUGCAGCACCACUGGCGAAGAAAUAGUGGGAGUAGAAGUACAGCAGCACCAAGACGCUGAACGAAAGUUGCCAGGACAAACCAAGGCCUCCAACAAACUGCGAGAAACAGAAAGACAUGGUCAAUAUAGGAGAAAUUAGUAAACAGGAAAAACGCAUUCCUUUCCAUGACGUUGAUGUCAGAACUGGGUUAACCAAAGAAUAAACACAUUGGAAUAUCAGGCCCAUAAAUGCCAUUGAACUUCUAGGGAAAAAAAGCUGGGCAUUGAACUGCAUGCCUAGAUUAUUUUUAUUAUUGUCAUGCUGAUGGAUAUAUGAGCCUGCCAUUCAUACUCAAAUGUUAGAAAGAAUCAAGAUAAUUAUUUCUACUUCUGGUCUAACAAACGAAAAAAAUCUUUAUAUCUUAACUACCUACCAUCUAGCUAUCCUUCAUUGUGGACAGUGCUCCAUUUCAAGGGUGAGCAGAUAAAUGGCACAAUAAAUAGCUCCUAGAUCAGGGUCAAGAUAUGCAUGGUUAAUGUCAUUAUGUAUCAGAAUUGAAUACAAUGUGCAACUUGGUGGAACCUGCAAACAUGACAAACAAUGCCAGCAAAUGCAAUGUUUGGUGGCAUCAAAGUUCAGCACCAUGCCAUAUUGAAAUGGAGAAUAUCCACCAUGCUCAAUAUCAAUUACAGUUGGACAACACUGUAGUAAUUUGUAUGCUGUUCGAACUUCUGAAUUGUGGUGUGAGGAGAAAGUUACGGGAGGAAGAGUCAGUGUACCUUCACAACAGUCUCACUGAACCAAGCAAUCAGCCCAUAUUUGUUGAGGUAGCCAGCCAUUGCGAUAAGUGCGGCAAACCAUGUAAGGGUAUCCCAUGCCACAGACUCCGCCAAACACUCUUUCCAUGUGACAACACCUGUGAUUAGGAGCACACCUAGGCCAAGAAUUGCUGCAGACACUGCAUCCACACUUAUCAUUCCCCCAAAGAUCCAAAGACCGACCUGGUGACAUGCAGAGCACAAUGAUCAGCGAAGAAUAGUCCAGUUUCUAUUCAAGUCGGAUGUAGACAGCGCAAUGACAAAAAUGUUACCAACAUUAGGUUCAACAACAACAACAAAACCUGUUAGUUUCAUGCAAAACAACAACAUAAGCUAGUAACCAAAAUCAGGCUAAGCUAAGAAAUGUUCAGUGAAGAAAUGUGCACAUCCACACCCAGGUUAAGGUUGAACUCUAUGUUUUUUGUGGAAUCACUGAGAAAUACCACCAGACAGCACUUUCUGGAAAUGUAAGAAAACUUCACAGAGAAAUAAAAUAAGGCUAUUGCAUGGGGAUUAUUCAGUAACACCUACUAAUCUACUAUCACUAAUAAUGAAUAUUUCCGAGCUCCAAGACAGAAUCACAGGCCAGAGAUCAAUUCCAUCAACUCAUACUUAGUAUCAAUCACUUAAGAAAAACAUGAAUACAGGAAGCAAACACUGCACGCAUGUUCCCCAUUGCCAAACAGCUCUACUCAAGUUCUGAAUCUUAACACACUACACACAACAAAUGGAGUAUGCAAGACAGCAGAUGAUUGUAACUAUCAGGAUUCAGAAGCAUAAAAAACAACAAUAGCACUAGACAAACUCAGGCCAUGAUUAAAAUAACAUCGACAAGCAAAAUGAAAAAGGGGUAAACAGUGCAUUAUACCGUGAGCAGCAGCGUGCCUGCCAUGAUCUUCUCCUCCUUGCUCAUGGGCCCCAUCUUGGCGAGGCGCUCCUUGGCCAGGCGCGGUGCAUCCGGGCUGGACUUCACCUCCGGUGGGUAGAUCACGUACAGAAUGAGCGGCACGAGCACGAGCGACAGCAUCCCAGGCACAAUGGCGGCCUUGGCCCACAGCGUCCACCCGAUCCCCUCCCCGAUUGUGGCCGCCGUCAGGUUGGCCGACAGCGGGUUGGCCGCCAUCGCGGUGAGGAACAUGGCGGAGGAGACGACGGAUGUCUGGAAGCAGGUGAGCAUGAGCCAUGCCCCCAGGCGGCGCUCGGUGCCGUCGCCGGCGCGCGAGCCGCAGGCCUCGCAGAGCGCCUUGACAAGCGGGAGGAAGAUGCCGCCGGCGCGGGCGGAGACGGAGGGGAUGGCGGGGGCGAGGAGCGCCUCCGCGAACACGAGCGAGUAGCCUAGGCCGAGGGAGGAGCUCCCGAACGCGGCGACGAAGGCGUAGGCGACGCGGGAGCCGAGCCCGGUCUUGAUGAACCCGCGCGCGAAGAAGAAGGCGAGCGCGAUGAGCCAGGGGAUGGGGUCGCCGAAGGCGGAGAAGGCCGCGGCGAAGGUGAGGGUGCGGGUGAGCACGGCGGCGCCGAGGCCGAGCAGGGCGACGGCACCGAGGGGCAGCGGCUGGGUGAUGAUGCCGACGAUGGUGGAGAGGAAGAUGGCGAGGAGCUGCCACGCGUUGCGGGGCACACCGGAGGGGGCCGGGACGAGCCAGAUGAGGACCCCCGUCGCGACGGUGGCGAGGAGCGGCGUGAUGGCCGCGCCCUGCAGCGCGGGCUUCGGCGGCGGGGCGGCGGGGGCCGCCCUCGCGGAGGCGGAGGCGGAGACCGGGGGGAGGACGCCGCUGCGGGAGGUGGAGGCGGCGGCGGCGGUGGGGGGUGGGGUGAAGAGGGGCUUGGAGGGGGGGAGGGAGUGGGAGAGGGAGAUGGGCUUGGAGGAGCGGCGGCGGAGGGAGAAGGAGAGGGAGGGGAGGCGGGAGCGGGGAACGGCGCUGGAGCCGAGGUGGUGGCAGGUGAGCGGCGAGGCCGCGGUGGAGGACGCCAUGGCGGCGGCGGCGGCGGGGGAAGUGGUGGUGGAAAUGGAGGUGGUGGGGUGAGGGGUGGGGUUUAAGUGGAUGGACGGCGAG
rnacentral:lncRNA from 1 species